rnacentral:rRNA from 1 species
GCUUACAGCCAUACCACCCUGAAUGCGCCCGAUCUCGUCUGAUCUCGGAAGCUAAGCAGGGUCAGGCCUGGUUAGUACUUGGAUGGGAGACCGCCUAGGAAUACCAGGUGCUGUAAGCU